CAGGGUAUCCUUUGACCCUUCUUAUUUCAACCAAAUGAACUAAAAUUUUAAAAUGACACAUUUUUUGGAAAACUAGUUCAUUUGUUUGAACUAAGAAGGAUCAAAGGGUAUCCUG
rfam:Brachypodium distachyon strain Bd21 chromosome 1, whole genome shotgun sequence.